GCUAUUUUGACAGAUUUAUGUGUUGAUUUUAGAGUUCAUUUAAAUAUAAUUUUUAUUAUAUAAAUAGUA
rnacentral:tRNA from 1 species